GGGCAGCACCGUUAAAGGCUAUGGAGGUUGAAAUCGUGAGCCCAUGGGAUUUGUCUUGAUCCUGAGUAGUGCUGGCUUGUGUGCCAAGUUCCUUCAGUCGUGUCUGACUCUCUUCGGCCCCAUGGACUGUAGCCCACCAGGCUCCUCUGUCUGUGGGCUUCUCCAGGCAAGAACACUGGAGUGGGUUGCCAUGCCCUCGUUCAGGGGAUCUUCCUGACCCAGGGACUGAAUCCGCGUCUCACGUCUCUUGAGUUGGCAGGCCUCUCCAUAUUUUGGCCACCUGAUGAGAAGAGCAGACUGAUUGGAAAAGACCCUGAUGCUGGGGAAGACUGAGGGCAGGAGGAGAAGGGUGUGACAGAGGAUGAGAUGGUUGGAUGGCAUCACCGCCUCAUUGGCCAUGAGUUUGGGCAAGCUACGGGAGAUUGUGAAGGACGGGGAAGGCUGGUGUGCUGCAGUCCAUGGGGUCACGAAGAGCUGGACACGACUGAAUGACUGAACAACAACGACAACUCUAGUCUUUUGAGCUUCCCAAUUUUUAGUGGUAAAAAAUUAGGCUUCCAAUGCAAGAUACUCAAGAGAUGUGAGUUUGAUCCCUGGGUUGGGAAGCUCCCCUGGAGGAGGAAAAGGUAACCCCCUCCAGUAUUCUUGCCUGGAAAAUUCCAUGGGCAGAGUCUGGUGGGCCCCAGUCCAUGGGGUCACGAAGAGUCAGACAUGACAUGAGUGGUCUUUUGGCAUCUUUUAAAAGACGGUCCACACUGUGUUAUUGUCAGUGCUGGCUUAGUCCUGAGCUGCUUUCCAUCUGCGUAAUCUUUUGAGUAAUCUCAUCUGCUCUCAUGAUUGUGGAUUCCAAAAAUAUAAUAUUUACACAAUUGCCUUGUCUUUGUCUGGUAUAAUUGUAGUUGCCCACUAGCUAAAACAGUCAAUUUAAAAUUCUUGUUGUAUGUCAAAAAACAGCACAGAAUGACUUGUUCACAUUUUGAUUGCAUUUACUAAAUAACUGAAUGCUGGAUUUAUCAUCCUUCUUUGCCCUUAUACCAUUUUCCUUUUAACUAUGUUGUGAAUAAAUUUCUAGUUGUACGAGGUAUAAAAAUUAUUAAAGGGAAAGGUAGGGGAAUUUGGGAGAUCUGAUUUCUUUUGGUCUUAAUUACUGACUGUAUUCAAUGUCUAGAUAAUUUGAUUCUGAGAUAAUUCUUGUGAGGUAAAUAUUGUAUAUAUUCU
ensembl:lncRNA